GCAUAGAAAUACCUAGUGAUGGAAUUGAUGUCUGGGAAAUUGAUACCAAUCAGUUAAAAAUUGAAAACAAAGUGGCAUCUGGAUCAUACGGUGAUCUGUACAGAGGCACAUAUUGCAGUCAGGAAGUUGCCAUCAAAAUCCUCAAGCCUGAGCGUGUCAGUGCAGAAAUGCUUAGAGAGUUCUCCCAAGAAGUUUAUAUAAUGAGGUUUGUCAUAAUGAUUGAGAGAAGUGACAGCAGCCAUUUCUAAAAAUCAUUGUUUAUGUACUCGAUUAGAUCUUUUAUGCUUUGAUACUUAAAAAAGAAAAGAAAAUAGAAGCUAAAAAAACACUUUUUAGACUAUGCAAUUGUCUUCAGAUGCUUACUGAAAGUUCCUUUUGCAAGCAAUGAUCUGCACGACAUGUCUAUUUAUCAGUUUCUCUUCAGAGAACUUUGGCGGUGUGAAGUCUCGAUGUUCUUAAUUUUUAUGAAUACUAUAACUUUAUUGAGCAAGUGGUAUUAUACUUGAUUACCAAAGAGGGAGGUCUCACCAGUGAUGCUCCUGAAGGGGGACUCAUUUGACUCAAAUUUUUAGUAUUCUUGUAUGCUUUGCUGCGUUCUUUAGGGAUUUGCAUAUGAUGCAUUCUUCUUGCUUUUCGUUACAUGAGGAAAUUCUGGUCUGUGCUUCCUUCUGUUUUCACUGGUACUUUGUUUUCUGCAAUUACUUAUUUUGUUAGCACUUUGCAGGAAAAUUCGGCAUAAGAAUGUCGUACAAUUCAUAGGUGCAUGCACUCAACCUCCAAACCUGUGCAUUGUGACUGAGUUCAUGGCUAGAGGAAGUAUAUAUGAUUUUCUUCAUAAACAGAAGGGUGUGUUUAAGCUUUCAUCCUUAAUCAAAGUGGCAACUGAUGUGUCCAGGGGAAUGAAUUAUCUUCACCAAAAUAAUAUAAUUCACAGGGACCUGAAAACUGCCAAUCUUCUUAUGGAUGAAAAUGAAGUUGUUAAGGUUGCUGAUUUUGGGGUUGCCAGAGUGCAAACUCAAUCUGGAGUAAUGACAGCUGAAACCGGAACAUACCGUUGGAUGGCUCCUGAGAGAAUGCUGUGGUUUCUCCAUUAUGAGAAAACAGAGAAUGCUGUGGUUUCCCCAUUAUAAGAGAAAAUUGUAUAAUAGCUGCAAAAAUGAUGUACAACCAAAUCAACAAGAACAAAAGAAACAAUUUUGUGGAGGAAGUUGAUUGUUCUUAUUCAAUCAUCAGUAUUGACUAACGAGAGUCUACAAGGCUUCAUUUUGGUGCACCAUAGCAAUUGCAAUCAUACAUAGAAAAAUCCAAAUAAAACUCAUAAAUAGUAAAAAAUUUAUAACAAAAAUCUAAAUAAUCAACAUUACUAAUUAAUAUAAAUAAUUCUUUUAUUUUUUUCUUUUCUUUAUCAUCUUAUAUUUACCUACAGUGGCUUCACUUGUAUGAAGGUGAUUGAACACAAACCAUAUGAUCAUAAGGCUGAUGUUUUCAGCUUUGCAAUAGUAUUAUGGGAACUUCUAACAGGAGAAGUAAGGCCUGCAUCCUUUAAGGAAGUUUUUAGAUGUCAAUAUUGCAUCAUUUUCUUGCCUCACAUGAAUUUGUAGUUUUUGAUGGCACAACUCUUAUCUCUUGUUAAUUAUUAUAUUUUAUGACUGAAAUCUCAGCUUCCUUACUCGUACUUGACCCCAUUGCAAGCAGCAGUAGGCGUGGUGCAAAAGGUAUAUGUGUUAUUUUCACGCUAAGAUGAAACAAAAACAAUUCUCUCAUGUUGAUUUUAACUUUCUUUAGGGUCUACGGCCUACAAUCCCCAAGAACACUCAUCCAAAACUUGCAGAACUUCUUGAGAGAUGCUGGCGACAAAAUCCAAAUCAGAGACCCAGCUUCUCUGAAAUUAUAGAUAUCCUUAAGCAAAUAGCCAAAGAGGUCACAAAUGAGAGGGAAGGUCGACACAAGGAUAAAUCAUCAGGUGGCUUUUUUUCAGCACUGAUAAGGGGUCACUAAGUUGGAAGAAGACAGUAGCUGUUAAUAGUGCAUUCAUGUGCAGGCAAUUUUCCUUCUUACGUACAUUCUAAUUGUACAAAUGCUUUUAUCCAACUCAGUUUUAGCUUUAUUUUGCCGCUUUUCUUUUCUUCAUUGUAAAUAGGAUUUAGUAUGUUUCAUGCAUCUUUUUUUUCCUCCUCCAUCUGUCCUCUUCGUUUUCUCCUCUUACCGCAUACAUAGGAUGAUCUAAAUUGGAAAACAACUGAAACUAGUAUUGCACCAAACAUUGGAUUGGUUGUUAAUAAGUAGAAAAUCUGCUAUGUAAUAUACUAGAGGACUAGGUGUAAAGCAAAAUUAACUUGUAUAUGGAUCUAAUCCUGUAGAAAAUAAAUUUUAGAAUCCAUGCCCCUAUCCUCCGAAGAACUCGAAUGAAGAAUAACUUUUAAUUUUGGACAAGGAAAGAUCUAACUCUAUGCAUAGGAAAACCAGGAAGCCAAACUAUGGCUAAAUGGACCUCCUUAUUCUGAAGGGGAAAAGCCUUUAUUGACUAAAAUAGAAGAAGAGAGCAAGAAGACGAAAAAAGAACUGUUUCCAGGCAAAAUCAGCCUGAAAUAAUACUCCUUCACGGAGUUGCAUGGAUGGUACUAGAGGCAAGAGAACAAAAAAGGGCAAAAGGUGAUAUUCAUACAGCAUAUUUGGAAGUCUCUUCUAUGUACAUGAGUAAUAGGAAUUAAAAUCAAGAGUAAUAAAUAGGAAUUAGAAUCAGGAAACAAGAAUAGUAUUUGCAGAAAAUGGACAAAUUUAUCAAGAAUAUUAAUUAAUUAAUUCCUGCCUACAUAUUUGAUUUGCUUGAGAAAGCCAAUCCUUCGAUUAUAAAUGUGGAUGCAUGUUACACAAGGUAUGGGAUGCUAGAGAAAGCACUGUGAAUUGUAAAUUGUGUUUGUCUAGUUAUAUCAGUUAAUUUUCGCAUAAGCCAAGGAGUUGGAGCUGCCUUGCUCUGACUCGUACCUGCAAUCGGACAAGUGCCUGCAUGCAAUGCAAAGCUAUACGAUUUUGUUUCCUCACAUGCACCCCUCGAACUAAUGCUUUCACCAGGCUUCUAAGUGCUCUAAAUGCUCGUCUUGCCUGUUCAGAUUACAAAAUACAUUAAACCAUAAAGAAAAUUGCCAAUGAAAGAGAAAAAAUUGCAGUAUAUAUUAGACAGCCUACGAGAUGACCCCUAAAAUUUGCUUGGAUUUUUAUGGCAGCUAUGUCUUCUUUUGAUAGUUGUUUCAUUGAAAUCAGUGAAAUUUCAGUAAUUAAUUCCUCAUAAAUGGCUGUUUCAUCUGUUUUUGUCUCAACAAGAGGACUAGAGCAAGCAUUGGAAUGAAGAACAAUAGUGUUUCCAUGAGAUGACGAUUUGACGAAUGUUCGUCGGAGCAUUUCGAAGUCGAACCAUUUUCGAGAUGUUCUCAAGCUUGUCAUCUCUCAGCUAUUUUCUGUUGGAAGGUGGCAGAUUUAAUGUUGUCCACCUGCAAAAACCUCUCAAAGAAGACGCGUAAAAAGUAAGAGCAGGAGAUGUGGGAACCAUGUUUGAUUGUUUUUGGUUUACUUGGCGAAAUGGGUGUCAAACUCGAAACGUGGGCGGACGAAUUUUUGUGUGAUGCCACUUUGAAGCUUUCUUCGGCUUUACAAACUCUCUAGAGCUUUCCAUGGAGAAGAAAAAUCAAAACCAUCAUUACCAAACAAAAAAAAAAUGUGUGAA
rnacentral:misc_RNA from 1 species